rnacentral:rRNA from 1 species
UAGCGAGACCCUAGAGGGCUGAUGCGGAGAAGGGUUUCGUGUGAACAGCCGUUGCACACGAGUCAGUCGAUCCUAAGCUCUAGGAGAAAUCCGGUGUAUGCCGGCCGGUGGUCAAGGGGAGCGAAAGGGAAUCCGGUCCCUAUUCCGGAACCCGGUUGCGGAACCGUCUCACGUCGGGCCCCCGGCUUCGGCCGGUAGCUCGUCGGGGUAACCCAAACAGACCCGGAGAAGCCGUCGGGAGGUCGGGGAAGAGUUGUCUUUUCUGUUUGAGCGUUCGGGUUCCCUGGAAUUGUCUAGCACAGAGAGAGGGAAUGGAGCGCGUAGAGCACCGCAGUUGCGGCGGUGUCCCGACAUGCCCUUCGGACCGUGAA